GGACGUUUAGCUCAGCUGGUUAGAGCGCACGAUUCACAUUCGUGAGGUCGGUGGUUCGAUCCCACCAAUGUCCACCA
rnacentral:tRNA from 1 species